rnacentral:rRNA from 1 species
AUUGAACGCUGGCGGCAGGCCUAACACAUGCAAGUCGAACGGUAACAGGAAGAAGCUUGCUUCUUUGCUGACGAGUGGCGGACGGGUGAGUAAUGUCUGGGAAACUGCCUGAUGGAGGGGGAUAACUACUGGAAACGGUAGCUAAUACCGCAUAACGUCGCAAGACCAAAGAGGGGGACCUUCGGGCCUCUUGCCAUCGGAUGUGCCCAGAUGGGAUUCGCUAGUAGGUGGGGUAACGGCUCACCUAGGCGACGAUCCCUAGCUGGUCUGAGAGGAUGACCAGCCACACUGGAAGUGAGACACGGUCCAGGCUCCUACGGGAGGCAGCGGUGGGGAAUAUUGCACACUGGGGGCAAGCCUGAUGCAUCGAUGCCGCGUGUAUGAAGAAGGCCUUCGGGUGGUAAAGUACUUUCAGCGGGGAGGAAGGGAGUAAAGUUAAUACCUGUGCUCAUUGACGUUACCCGCAGAAGAAGCACCGGCUAACUCGGU